ACCAAACACCGCCAACAUGGUGUUCAGGUGCUUUGUGGAGGUUGGCCGAGUGGCCUACAUCUCCUUUGGACCUCAUGCCGGAAAGCUGGUAGUGGCUGUAGAUGUUAUUCAUCAGAACAGGGCUUUGGUUGAUGCACCUUGCACUCAGGUGGGGAGACAGGCCAUGCCUUUCAAAUGCAUGCAGCUCACUGACUUCAUCCUCAAGCUCCCACACAGUACCCACCAGAAGUAUGUGCAACAAGUCUGGCAGAAGGCUGAUAUCAAUACAAAAUGGGCAGCCACAAGAUGGGCCAAGAAGAUUGAAGCCAGAGAAAGGAAAGCCAAGAUGACAGAUUUUGAUCAUUUUAAAGUCAUGAAGGCUAAGAAAAUGAGGAACAGGAUAAUCAAGAAAGAAGUUAAGAAGCUUCAAAAGGCAGCUCUCCUGAAAGCUUCUCCCAAUAAAGCACUUGCUAUUAAGGGUGCUGCUGCAGCCGCUGCUGCUGCUGAUAAAGUGCCAACAAAAAAAGGCGACCACCGCUGCAGGCAAGAAGAUUCCAGCCCAGAAAGUUCCUGACCCAAAAGCCACAGGCCAGAAGGCAGUGCCUCCUUCAAAAGCUUAGAAGGGUUCAAAGUCUCCAGCCCAGAAAGUACCUGCUCCAAAGGCAUCUGGCAGAAAGGCAUAA